GGGUCAGUAGGUUGGUCGUGCCACCGGUACGUACUGGUCUCACUGAUUCCUCCUUCCUGAAGAACCGUAAUGCCAUUAAUUUGGUGUUGCGGGGGAACAGGACUGUUACUUUGAAAAAAUUAGAGUGUUUAAAGCAAGCUAACGCUUGAAUACAUUAGCAUGGAAUAAUGAAAUAGGACGAUCGAUCCUGUUUUGUUGGUUUCUAGGAUUGACGUA
rnacentral:rRNA from 1 species